rnacentral:rRNA from 1 species
UCGCAUGCUUUAAAUUGGUCCCUGCUCCGGGGGAGCGUGCAUUGCGCUUUUUAAUCUGUCGCGUGGGGACUGGGGUUCCUUUAGUGCUGGGGGACGGGGAGAGGGAGAGCACCCGAGCAUCGAGAGAGGAGAGCUUGUGUUGAGAUCCCAAGGUAGCGGCGGUCCUGCGGAUACCCUAGGUCUCUUCCUAGUUCUGUCACCGCUGCCAGCGUGCCGAGGGGAAGUUCAGCUCGUUUGGAUGGGGGAGGGCCAGGAGAGCAAGUAAAGAGAGAAAACUUUGCCGCCGCCGCCCACCACCGUAGUAACCGCCACCGCCGUUUAGUCCAUCCUAGGGUAGGGAGAGAGGGAUUCGUACGAAAGAGCAGGAGAGAGCGCGCGAUGUUUUGGUGUCCCCCGCCGCCGAACUCCCGCACCCGAAGACACGCGGCCCCACCACGACGCCACCACCGGCCUCCUCCGUACACUGACCGCCCGACUUCAGCGCCGCACUGCGCCGCUACCGCAGCCGCUGCGGCUACAGACCUAGAGUGUAUCAUUAUCGAACCCCUCCACUAGGUCGAGCCCGCACAUCGUUUUUAGUCAGCCAGGAUCGAAGACACAGAAUACAGCUUUAAAGUGCCAUUGGUCCUCAUUGUUAUAAAAACCAAUUAAACCCCUAUGCCACUACAAGACCACUGUACCUUGUACGACUCUAAACCUGAACUUAGGAACUAACACGUACCCAUAAGUACGAAGUAUGGGUACGACCUUUGUUUAAAAGUAAAACUUUGACUCAUUAGUAUGAUAUUGAUAGCUGUACAUCUAAAUACGAGGUACAUCAUAUAAUGACCAGGUAAUAUCGAUCUAAGUCAAGUGGUAAACGUUCUAGUAUAAGGUGAUAUAUAUCUCUGAUUUAUAACAAAGUAAAUCGACAAACAGGUACAUACAUCGAGUAAGUCAAGAGACUUUGGACCCCUCUAAUUAGGUUUCGACUUCGUCCUUGGUGUGCAGCUAAUCUCGACAACGUCGCCGUCUAAGUGGAAGGGAAACACGGAGUAACCUGUGUUGUUCCCCACCCACAGGGUAGAGGACACGCUUUAACAUGAUACCAUUGUGGAACACAACAAGUCGAACCUUAACCUAUGAGCUACCACACAACGGGGUUUAAUCGUCGAGUAACAAUGAAACAUUAGUGCUUAUUAAAAACAACAACACUCAUUAACACGUAACGCUACCCGAGAAGUAAAACAAUAGCUUACAACGUCUGAUAAUAACCGAAGAGUUACGUCUAGACACUACGGGUCAACGGGUGACUACCAUAUACAAUACAGGACGAGUUUUAUCAGCCCCAUUAUAGAUACGAAUACAACGCAACAUGUCCUUGUCGGUUCCAACAACAUCAUUAUUUUACUCGGGCUGCAACAGAUGACUAGUAACAUAUAACCUACCCGUUCAUCAUCCAAAAAGAGUAGAAUCAGGAUAUUGAAGCAAACAGAUGAGAUAACAGUAAAUGUGUGAUUGAAAAUACGGUGUAAUCCCUUAUAAGGAAAAUACGGUAUCAAAAGACAACCUUCUGAAGACAAAGAGGGUAAGGUCCCUACGAUCCGAUACAUUCAUCGCUGUGACAUUAAAAAUAACUAGACUUAGAAGCCCGAGACAAAAGUUUAAAAGUCGAUGGUUGCGAACUAGCCCUGGUGCGGGUUCUGUUGCCCGGGCUACAAACCUUUCCUAGCGCUUUCACUGUACACAGUACCACUCCGGUCAAAGGUAAGGUGUACAACGGAAUAAAAGAAGAUAUAGGCGUUAAACGCUCCAUUAAAAUUUAGUAAAACAUACGAGCAGCUACAACUAGAUACCGUUCUCAGACCAAGUAGUGUUGUAGCCACAACAAACCAAGAAGAAAAGAGGUUCGUACAAGACCGAGCCGUCACGUGGUAUUGAUCUCAAAAGUGUGGACUGUCAGUGCGGGUGGAUUUUACCCGUAGGAAACAGUGAUAACGUAAGGCGAGUACAUAAGAAUUAACACUUCGAAGAGCAUCCUUGUUUUUUAAUUUGUUUGUUCAUACUUACCUAUCUCUUUCAAACAACAAACAGUUCAUGGAGCCGUCAGUCCAUCCUCAUGAAUGCGUCCUCACUGGCAAAACCAGUUUGCCCACCGCCUUCUAUGACUGGGAAGGACACCAGACACAGAGAUAGUGCGUUCCUCGUUUCCAAUCGCGAACACCUAGUAGUGAGCUGGACUCCUCCUCAUCCUACAAGUGUGAGGUGAGGUGCUAACGUACUUCUUUAGAAUACGGUUAAGGUCAAACGGAACGGAACGGGUACACUGGUUGACAACGAGAGCAGAGCUAGCUGGUGUGAGGUGUCAGCGUAAAACUAGCUUCAAAGAGGAAAAUCGCGAUACCGAUACCUCUAGUUCUUGUUACCCUUGCUUACCACACUGUAGCCACUACUACAGCGACUUCCUCUCCCAUUUGUCUGUACUACACAAAGACUGAUUACCCGACGUCCCAACCGUGUUCCUUUGAUAACAAUACGGAACGCUCCAGGCUGCUGCCACUGUCCUACUGAACUCGUUUCGACACUUUUUUAGUCUUUGUAUUUUGUCACUGGAUGUUAUAUUACGUAGUCGCCUUCUCCUCCUCCUCCGUAUACUUCGACUCUCUCCACUGCCCCUCGUGCUCUUUGACGAGAGCGACGUUCUCUCCCUCGGUACGGUUAUCAGUCAACACCCAAACACCGCGACCAGCGCUGGCGGCGUAGUGGUUGGUACUAGCAGGUUCGACACCGUACCCCCAGCACGAACGACGAACGCGCCGCUAGGGGGGUAGCACUACUAUUCCGCUGAGGGGUUGGGAUUACUAUUCCGAAGUAGGUAAGUUAAAACUGUGACAUCUGUUGAUCGAAAACCAUUCACGUCGUACGAGUUCAAAUGAAACAUCGAUAAAAGUACAAGACGUAAAGUUACCAUGUUCUAACACAGCGAGUUAGAACCGGAUCUCCACGAGGGUAAAAUCCAGUUUGUGUCAGAUAAUACUUUGGUAACGUAUAAAACGACUUUACGAAGUUCCACCAAAAUGAUACUGUCAUACUGGUACGAACAUUACGGUCGAACCGAACUCUCCAGCCGAUUAAGUCAUCCGAAUAAGUUACCGCUUAUCCAGGUACAUAAUCUAUCCUAGUUGUUCUCAACCGACCGUCGACGAUACAUAUACAAUACCUAGUCUCCGUUAAUUAGACAGAAACGGGGGGAAAAAAAUUAAGUUCGGGAAUUCUAAUACGAGAAUUUACGUAUGUGUACUGAAUGAAGGUCUAAAUUGUUCUGACGUAAGAUGUUACUCGAUAUAUCGACUACAACUAGUAUUAGUCAUGCACAUGUCUCGUCAAAAUUCUAAAGGACAAAGAAGUAUAACUUAUGGUUAACGCGUUAUACACAUAAACAUCGUAUAACGUCUGAACGUCACUUCAUCACGGACGAUAUGUACUCUACAUGGAAAAAAUCUAUUGAAAAGAAUUUUAAUUUUUAUGAUUUUACGUGUACAAAGAUAGUUAAAUAACCAUGAGUUACUGAAGGAAUAGGUCCAACACUAAACGAUAUGUUAAAGAAUGUACAAUCUUCCAUGUAUACUCUAUAUCAUUUCAACUAAUAUAUACCCUAUAUCUGAUCUUUUAAUAUUCUGCAGUAUACGUUCAACAGACCUUUUAGAAUCCUUACGUAACUGAAACCGGCUUGUGCCCCGUUCUGUACUUGCACUACGGACUAUCAAUAGCAGCGACGUGGAGACGUAGACGAAGAUAAAACAACGUUAUAGGACGUAACUUACUCUCGACAAUAGUACGUGUACAAACGCUACGUCCAAGGUUGUGAUGGUGUUUCGAACCAAUUCGGUACCCAGUGAAUAACUAUUUACAUCAACUUCAGAUAAUAAAACGUUUUACUUUAUAUAUAAGAACCAAAUUACUAAAUCAUGUAUAACAAAGUUUUGACGAAUGUCACUAAAAACACGAUUCCAACUCUAUUGAUCCAUUAAUAGAUCGGUACAGUCAUUGUAUAUACGGAACUCAUAAGUUUGUACCAUUAUGUUUAAAGCGUUGAACUAUAAAUUAAGAACGUUCCUUAUAACAACAAACGGGCUAAUUGCUCUAUGAACUCAGUGAAGUGUUUUACAAUGCAGAAAGCUCCGCAAGUGUCCCUUCCGAUGACCACAACCGUAGCGACAACGGUCAAUAUUUGAUUUACUAGAAAUCGCACUACCUUACAAUAGUUGAGAACACCACUUGUGAUUACUGGAAAUCGUAACGUAUCACUCAUACUCUAGCCCGGAGGGCAGAAACCAUCUUUUAAACAAGGACAGGCAGAUUCAACAUGUCCCUCGUAUAUAACGAAUAAUAACCGUGAUUAACGUAACACGAAAGCAAGAAACCACCUUUAAGUGAAAUACAGGUAACGGAUUAAACAUGUUUUUUUUACAUCUUACGAUAACCGUAUUAAUGAAAAGGGGCUAUCGUCUCAAAGAUUUCACAUACCUCUGCUCUUUCCAUACACGAUGGUAUAGGACGAGUAGUUCUCAUUUACACACACACACACCAAAAGUGCGUUCAGUAACAAGACUUCACAGAAACGUUGAAGUCUAACACUAAAAUCACAACGAUAAAGAAUGUACAAUCUCCCCUGUGUAAUAAAAAGUGUAAAGUAGAAACGUCUCCUCAUCAACAAUAGAUAUUAGUCUAUCACAUUCUUUACUUUCUAAACAAACAGAAUCGUAGUUUUGCAAUUUAUAAUUUUAUACGUACUGUAGUAUAAGUUAUGUGUAUAGGCUUAACACGGUUUAAACAAACUAGUCACGUUUUAACGUAUACGAUAAAAAAACCAAUAAGGCACGGUUGUGUACACAUAAAUAGAUCCAUCUAUAUCCGUCACACGAUAAAUUACGUAACAAUAAAUCAACCGGCCAUUAUUCAAGAUUUUUCGUAGGAGCAAGUUCUCGGUUUAAAGACAUUUUAAAUCUCACUUAUUUAGAAACAAGAUAUAUGUACAUUACGAAAAGUCGUUGAAAAUCAAAGUAAAUGGCCCUCAUAACCAAAGAAAACGUUAAAUCUUAAACAACAAACAAAUAAAGAAAAGUAGUCUAGCCUCAAGUAACCAAACAAACAAGGAAAAAUAGUCAGUAGAUGGUACCUUACAAGAUAUACACAAAAAACAAAAAACAAGUUUCUCAAUAAAAGAGAGUACACGAAAUUAGUAUACGUGUGUACCAACGCGCACGUCAUAAUUUUGGUCAGAUAGUAAGGAAAAAUACUACUUAAAUUCUCAAAAAUAGAACUUUCAUCAGAAUGUUGUAGAUAAAAUAAAAAUCUGAUUUUAAAACUUAACAUCCCAGAUACGGUCACUACACUACGAAUAUACAAGAUACUACAAUAAGGUUGUGUGGCAGGUACCAACGAACUGUCCUUUGUCUCUUCACCGGUCUACCCGUUAGUUGAGUAGACGACUAACCUAACCCCCUCACCGUACUUGUUUCAUUUACACUUCUUUCGUUCAAACCUGCGAUCCACCGCCUUGGUUGUCCCCUUCGCAGUCCGCACUUGGUUUGUAGAUACCGAACAACGAAACUUAGAACAGCCAGAUCCGUUCCAAUCGAGAACAGUGCUACGUUACUAGUUGGAAAUUCUUUAAGAACGCAUGUACAGAUAAUCAUGAUAAAAGGGUAACAGGUAGACACAUACAUUAAAGGUACUACGCCACUAAAACUAUUAAAAAGAAUUUUAUAAAUGAAUAAUCAACACCUAUAGAAGAGAUCUUUAUUGUUUUCAUAUUAUAUCCGUUCUUAUUCAUAGUCUUGAUUAAGGUACCACGAGUACAUUCAGAUCAG